GAUGAAGAACGCAGCGAAAUGCGAUACGUAAUGUGAAUUGCAGAAUUCAGUGAAUCAUCGAGUCUUUGAACGCACAUUGCGCCCCCUGGUAUUCCGGGGGGCAUGCCUGUCCGAGCGUCAUUGCUGCCCUCAAGCACGGCUUGUGUGUUGGGCCCCCGCCCCCCGGUUCCCGGGGGGCGGGCCCGAAAGGCAGCGGCGGCACCGCGUCCGGUCCUCGAGCGUAUGGGGCUUCGUCACCCGCUCCGUAGGCCCGGCCGGCGCCCGCCGGCGACCCCCCCUCUAUCUUUCCAGGUUGACCUCGGAUCAGGUAGGGAUACCCGCUGAACUUAAGCAUAUCAAUAAGCGGAGGA
rnacentral:misc_RNA from 1 species